GCAAGUCGAACGAGUGGCGUACGGGUGAGUAACACGUGGACAUCUGCCCUUGGUGGGGAAUAACCCCGGGAAACUGGGGAUAAUACCGCAUAGGAAGAGUCCGCGGCCGAUUAGCUAGUUGGCAGGGUAAAAGCCUACCAAGGCGAAGAUCGGUAGCCGGCCUGAGAGGGCACACGGCCACACUGGCACUGAGACACGGGCCAGACUCCUACGGGAGGCAGCAGUGGGGAAUCUUGCACAAUGGGGGAAACCCUGAUGCAGCGACGCCGCGUGAGUGAUGAAGCCCUUCGGGGUGUAAAGCUCUUUCGACAGGAAUGACGGUACCUGGAGAAGAAGCUGCGGCUAACUACGUGCCAGCAGCCGCGGUAAUACGUAGGCAGCAAACGUUGUUCGGAGUUACUGGGCGUAAAGAGUGCGUAGGCGGUCUGCCAAGUCUGGUGUGAAAUCUCCUGGCUUAACUGGGAGGGUGCGCCGGAUACUGGCAGGCUUGAGUGUGGGAGAGGAAAGCAGAAUUCCUGGUGUAGCGGUGAAAUGCGUAGAUAUCAGGAGGAAUACCUGUGGUGAAGACGGCUUUCUGGACCACAACUGACGCUGAGGCACGAAAGCGUGGGGAGCAAACAGGAUUAGAUACCCUGGUAGUCCACGCCCUAAACGAUGCAAACUUGGUGUAGGUGCCGGAGCUAACGCGUUAAGUUG
rnacentral:rRNA from 1 species